rnacentral:lncRNA from 1 species
CAGCGGUCUCAGGCACUGCAUCUUAGUGCUAGAGGCGUCACUACAGACCGUAGUUUGAUUCCAGGCUGUAUCACAACUGGCCGUGAUUGGGAGUCUCAUAGGGCGGUACACAAUUGGUCCAGUGUCGUCCGGGUUUGGCCCGGGGUGUGCUGUCAUUGUAAAUAAGAAUUUGUUCUUAACUGACUUGCCUAGUUAAAUACAUCAACACUACCGUUCAAAAGUUUGUGGUCACUUAGAAAUAUCCUUGUUUUUGAAAGAAAAGCAAUUUUUUUUGUCCAUUAAAAUAACAACAAAUUGAUCAGAAAUACAGUGUAGACAUUGUUAAUGUUGUAAAUGACUUGUCAUUUACACGUUGGGUUAGCAAAUCCAAGUUUAUCAUUUUAAAAGGCUAAUUGAUCAUUAGAAAACCCUUUUGCAAUUAUGUUAGCACAGCUGUAAACUGUUAUUCUGAUUAAAGAAGCAAUAAAACUGGCCUUCUUUAGACUUGUUGAGUAUCUGGAGCAUCAGCAUUUGUGGGUUGGAUCUAUUCUUGCUCUGAGAAAUUAAGUCUUUUCCAUGCGAGAAAUUGCCAAGAAACUAAAGUUCUGGUACAACGCUGUGUACUACUCCCUUCACACAACAGCGCAAACUGGCUCUAACCAGAAUAGAAAGAGGAGUGGGAGGCCCCGGUGCACAACUGAGCAAGAGGGAAAGUACAUUAGAGUGUCUAGUUUGAGAAACAGAUGCCUCACAAGUCCUCAACUGGCAGCUUCAUUAAAUAGUACCCACAAAACACCAGUCCCAACGUCAACAGUGAAGAGGCGACUCCGGGAUGCUGGCCUUCUAGGCAGAGUUCCUCUGUCCAGUGUCUUUUGCCCAUCUUAAUCUAUUCUGUUUAUUGGCCAGUCUGAGAUAUGGCUUUUUCUUUGCAACUCUGCCUAGAAGGCCAGCAUCCCGGAGUCGCCUCUUCACAUUGUUGGAUUACUUCAUGGAGCAAUUUUUUACAUUUAUUUAAACAACAGAGAAUUUUCUAUAUUCAAACAUACCCCCUGGAAAUGGACAUUUUAUGGUCAAACAUUGUCAGUGCUACACCAAACAGUGCCUAACCUGUAACUUCCAGUAUAAUAGAUAAAACAAAUUGGGGGGUAAAAUCACGUUAUCUAGUGUGACAGAUCGUAGCUAGGUUGUACAUUGACGCCACAUUCCUGUCCUCUCUCUUUUACAAAAGAAAACAUAAAAACAAAAGAAUAGAGACAUUUUGUUCAAUGUUGUUUAAAACCCAGUUUUAAAAUGACCGUAAAAAGCACAUUAAAACAUUUUCUAAUUUUAGUUACAAAAAUGGGUCAGCUAAAAGUCUUACCAAUGCAUCUCAGAAGGAUCUGAACAGAGGAUCUCUAACCCAUAAGGAUUUAUCUUCAAAUUCCCAACCCAAAAAUAUAUCAACUUAAAUGUUUAACCAAGGUAUAUUCAGAGCAUAGAAUCCUCAGAUCUUAAUGGUUAUCAAGAAAGUUUAAGGUAUAUGACCCCCUCCCCCCAAAAAAUAAGAAAAAGACAAAAAUGAAAACAAAAUGAAAAUCACAAAUAGACUUAAAUAAAAAGUAGAACGAAUGCCAUGAUUGCUUAAUACAAGCACAGUAUCACAACAUUAGUGGAAUAUGUUGCUAUAUGUGAGCUGGUGAGUCUUAGUCAUUUUACCUAAGGUCUCAAAAGGUAAACCUGCAAUAACAUAUAUCUUAGGAUGGUAUAUAUAUAUAUACACACACUAGAAAUAGGGAGUCGUUUGAAUGCUAAUUUUAUUUGCUUCUUAACUGGUAUCAGGUAACAGUUAACACAGGAUGUAUUUAUUGACAAAAUAUAAUAAUUAUUGAAUUCUGACAGUCUGUCUUUACACACACACACACACACUACCAGUCAAAAGUUUUAGAACAGCUACUCAUUCAAGGGUUUUUCUUUAUUUUACUAUUUUCUACAUUGUAGAAAAAUAGUGAAGAUAUAAAAACGAUGAAAUAACAUAUGGAAUCAUGUAGUAAGCAAAAAAAGUGUUAAACAAAUCAAAAUAGAUUUUAUAUUCUUCAAAGUAGCCACGCUUUGCCUUGAUGACAGCUUUGAACAAUCUUGGCAUUCUCUCAACCAGCUUCAUGAUGUAGUCACCUGGAAUGCAUUUCAAUUAACAGGUGUGCCUUGUUAAAAGUUAAUUUGUGGAAUUUCUUUCCUUCUUAAUGUGUUUGAGCCAAUCAGUUGUGUUGUGACAAGGUAGGGUUGUUAGUCCUAUUUGGUAAAAGACCAAAUCCAUAUUAUGGCAAGAACAGCUCAAAUAAGCAAAGAGAAAUGACAGUCCAUCAUUACUUUAAGACAUGAAGGUCAGCUAAUCCAGAAAAGGGCAGUCGCAAAAACCAUCAAGCGCUAUGAUGAAACUGGCUCUCAUGAGGAUCGCCACAGGAAAGGAAGACCCAGAGUUAUCUCAGCUGCAGAGGAUAAGUUCAUUAGAGUUACCCGCCUCAGAUUGCAGCCCAAAUAAACGCUGCACAGAGUUCAAGUAACAGACACAUCUCAACAUCAACUGUUCAGAUGAGAAUGCGUGAUUCAGGCCUUCAAGGCCGAAUUGCUGCAAAGAAACCACUACUUAAGGACACCAAUAAUAAGAAGCGACUUGAUUGAGCCAAGAAAUACGAGUAAUGGGCAUUAGACAGGUGGAAAUCUGUCCUUUGAUCUGAUGAGUCCAAAUUUGCACAUUUUGGUUACAACCACCAUGUCUUUGUGAAGCACAGGUGUGAAUGUGUUGGGGUGCUUUGUUGGUGACACUGUCAGUGAUUUAUUUAGAAUUCAAGGCUCACUUAACCAGCAUGGCUACCACAUCAUUCUGCAGCGAUACGCCAUCACAUCUGGUUUGCGCUUAGUGGGACUAUGAUUACAUUUUCAACAGGACAAAUGACCCAAAACACACCUCCAGGCUGUGUAAUGGCUAUUUGACCCAGGAGAGUGAUGCAGUGCUGCAUCAGAUGACCUGACUUCCACAAGCAUAUGACCUCAACCCAAUCGAGAUGGUAUGGGAUGAGUUGGACAGCAGAGUGAAGGAAAAGCAGCCGACAAGUGCUCAGCAUAUGUGGGAACUCCUUCAAGACUGUUGAAAAAACAUUCCAGGUGAAGCUGGUUGAGAGAAUGCCAAGAGUGUGCAAAGCUGCCAUCAAGACAAAGGGUGGCUACUUUGUAGAAUCUCAAAUAUAAAAUAGAUUUUGAUUUGUUUAACACUUUUUUGGUUACUACAUGAUUCUAUAUGUGUUAUUUCACAGUUUUGAUGUCUUCACUAUUAUUCUACAAUGUAGAAAAUAGUAAAAUAAAGAAAAACGCUUGAAUGAGUCGGUGUGUCCAAACUUUUGACUGGUACUGUGUAUAUAUAUAUUUUUUUGUUACCAAGAUUAAGAGCCAGAUGCGAUUCUGAUACACACGCAGGUUUUGAAAGUGGAUUCAGAAAUAACAGUAUUGUAAAAAAACUAUAGUUGAAGUUUAUUCAUUUUCAAAAAGCACCUUUUUUAGCACCACUUAAUUUUUGUGUGUUUUGAACAAGCACGGUUGUGGUAUUUAAUUUUGUACAGCACCUGUAGAAUCCAAAAAAAGAGGUCUCUCUCCUCUCUCGCCUCUCGACCUCCCUCAUUUUUCUCCUGUUCACCUUUCUCUGCAACACCUUCAAAUGUCCUUCGUCUUUGCACCACAACAGGUUUAAGUCAUGUGAUUCUAGCCCUACAAGGGCAAGAAGUCUUGUCCUGGUAAAACAUACAUACACGGCAAGACCUGUUCGCUACAUAAUUUUUUUAUUCAAAACUUGCAUGUGGUAUGGAAACAGGUGAGGGGGCUGGGUACUGGGGUUAGGUGGUAUGGAAACAGGUGAAGGGGCUGGGUACUGGGGUUAGGUGGUAUGGAAACAGGUGAGGGGGCUGGGUACUGGGGUUAGGUGGUAUGGAAACAGGUGAAGGGGCUGGGUACUGGGGUUAGGUGGUAUGGAAACAGGUGAGGGGGCUGGGUACUGGGGUUAGGUGGUAUGGAAACAGGUGAAGGGGCUGGGUACUGGGGUUAGGUGGUAUGGAAACAGGUGAGGGGGCUGGGUACUGGGGUUAGGUGGUAUGGAAACAGGUGAGGGGGCUGGGUACUGGGGUUAGGUGGUAUGGAAACAGGUGAGGGGGCUGGGUACUGGGGUUAGGUGGUAUGGAAACAGGUGAGGGGGGCUGGGUACUGGGGUUAGGUGGUAUGGAAACAGGUGAGGGGGCUGGGUACUGGGGUUAGGUGGUAUGGAAACAGGUGAGGGGGCUGGGUACUGGGGUUAGGUGGUAUGGAAACAGGUGAGGGGGCUGGGUACUGGGGUUAGGGGGUAUGGAAACAGGUGAGGGGGCUGGGUACUGGGGUUAGGUGGUAUGGAAACAGGUGAGGGGGCUGGGUACUGGGGUUAGGUGGUAUGGAAACAGGUGAAGGGGCUGGGUGCUGGGGUUAGGUGGUAUGGAAACAGGUGAGGGGGCUGGGUACUGGGGUUAGGUGGUAUGGAAACAGGUGAGGGGGCUGGGUACUGGGGUUAGGGGGUAUGGAAACAGGUGAGGGGGCUGGGUACUGGGGUUAGGUGGUAUGGAAACAGGUGAAGGGGCUGGGUACUGGGGUUAGGUGGUAUGGAAACAGGUGAGGGGGCUGGGUACUGGGGUUAGGUGGUAUGGAAACAGGUGAGGGGGCUGGGUACUGGGGUUAGGUGGUAUGGAAACAGGUGAGGGGGCUGGGUACUGGGGUUAGGGGGUAUGGAAACAGGUGAAGGGGCUGGGUACUGGGGUUAGGUGGUAUGGAAACAGGUGAGGGGGCUGGGUACUGGGAUUAGGUGGUAUGGAAACAGGUGGGGGGACUGGGUUGGGGAGUCUGGUUGCUGGGUUGGGGGGGGUUGGUUGCUUGGCUGGGUUGGGUUGGGGUUGGUUGCUGGGCUGGGCUGGGGGUUUGGUUGCAGGGUUGGGUUGGGCGGUUUGGUUGCUGGGCUGGGUUGGGGAGGUUUGGUUGCUGGGCUGGGUUGGGUUGGGGGGUUUGGUUGCUGGGUUGGGGGGUUUGGUUGCUGGGUUGGGUUGGGGGUUUGGUUGCUGGGCUGGGUUGGUUGCUGGGCUGUGGGGGCUGGGUUGGGGGGUUGGUUGCUGGGUUGGGGCUUUUGGUUGCAGGGCUGGGGGGGCUGGGUUGGGGGGUUUGGUUGCUGGGCUGGGGGGUUUGGUUGCUGGG